rnacentral:rRNA from 1 species
AUUGAACGCUGGCGGCAUGCCUUACACAUGCAAGUCGAACGGCAGCACGGGAGCAAUCCUGGUGGCGAGUGGCGAACGGGUGAGUAAUAUAUCGGAACGUGCCCAGUCGUGGGGGAUAACGUAGCGAAAGCUACGCUAAUACCGCAUACGAUCUACGGAUGAAAGCGGGGGAUCGCAAGACCUCGCUCGAUUGGAGCGGCCGAUAUCAGAUUAGCUUUUUGGUGAGGUAAAGGCUCACCAAGGCGACGAUCUGUAGCUGGUCUGAGAGGACGACCAGCCACACUGGAACUGAGACACGGUCCAGACUCCUACGGGAGGCAGCAGUGGGGAAUUUUGGACAAUGGGCGCAGGCCUGAUCCAGCAAUGCCGCGUGCAGGAUGAAGGCCUUCGGGUUGUAAACUGCUUUUGUACGGAACGAAACGGUGAGCUCUAAUACAGUUUGCUAAUGACGGUACCGUAAGAAUAAGCACCGGCUAACUACGUGCCAGCAGCCGCGGUAA